UUCAUGAAAAGAUAUCUGCGUAAAAGAGAAGGCAGGGGUAGGGAAUGCGUCCACAAUAGAGCUAACCACCGUAACCUCAACCUGCUAAGUAACUUAAACACUGAAGCUGGAAGCGAAAACAAACAGGAAGAAGUCCUUAUAGCUGACAGAGAAGCUGCGAGACAUAUGCAUAACUCUAUAAUGCAAUUGAAACCCACCAUGGAACCAAGCGGAUAAAGAUGUGGAAAUAGACAACGGAAGUGCAUAAAGAGGCUGACAAUAUAAUGAGAUGAGGGCAUCAGAAAGCAAUUGGUGAUGCUUCUGGAUAGAAGUCCUGAUGCAAUAUUCUAUAAUUGAUUGGGAUCAUCAGAGGAU
rnacentral:lncRNA from 1 species